rnacentral:rRNA from 1 species
UACGUAGGCAGCAAGCGUUGUUCGGAGUUACUGGGCGUAAAGAGUGCGUAGGCGGUCCUGUAAGUUUGGUGUGAAAUCUCCCGGCUCAACUGGGAGGGUGCGCCGAAGACUGCAGGGCUUGAGUAUGGGAGAGGUAAGCGGAAUUCCUGGUGUAGCGGUGAAAUGCGUAGAUAUCGCUUGGAACGCCGAAGGUGAAAAACAGGCUGCUGGGGUCGCGCCGAC